CUUGCUCGUGCUCUCUCCUUCAAAUAAAUAAAUAAGUCUUUUUAAAAAAUGCCUUUUGUUUAUUUGCAGUUGGUGAGAUCUACCUGAGGAAGGUUGCAUGCCAAUGCCACAUUAAACAAAGAAAAGGAAAGGAGAAAAGAAUCCUAAAUUCUUUAUUAGAGUCUGACGUGACUGAUUUCAAAAAUUCUUGGCCAAGACCCCACUGAGUUGUGCUCAGUGGAGUUUGUGCUGUAUUUAGUUUCUCAACCAGAAACCUUCCAUGGAACUUGGAGAUUUGGAGGAAGAGCAUGGGAGACAACUCAGCAUCCAUCUUUUUGGAACCUGACGCUGAGCUCCAGUGCCUCAUGUCCCUGAUCACAGUGGCCUCUAACCCAUGGCUCAUCCAAAUCCCUCACGGCUCAGGAGUGGGAAAUAACGCCUCUGAGUGAAGACGGAAAAAGAGGUCCUGAUUAUUAGGUGAAUUUGUAGCUGUCCCUCAGACCUUCUCUGGAUGACGCAACACAACCAACUCUGAUGUCAACCCUGAGAAUUUUGCUGAAUGUUCCAGUCAUUCUUUACCACUGCAGUCUGAAGACCGGGAGUCUGCUGGAGUCUCUUGAAAUUAUUCUGCUGGUUGUGGGGAUCAGAGUGUCAGCUGGGGAACCUAGGUGUACUACUACUGUGGUGGGGAGAUCUGUGCUUGGCCCAGGCUUUUUGGGGGCCUCUGUGGAAUCCCCUCAUGGCCAUGGGCCCUGAUGGAGAGAAAGACAGCUAGGAUGGGUAGGACUCCUGGGCUGCACAGGGACAAACUGCCUCUUGAGGAGAGCAGGACAGACCCCUCUGGAUUUGCUCACUCUCAAUAUCAAAGCAGGCCCAGAGACUUCAUUUACUUUUUAUUGCUCUGGCUGUUCUCUUCAUACAGCUUGACACAAAAGGCACCUCCUCAGCAAGUAGGAGGUGGCACAGUGUACUAAUAAUCCAGAACCUGGUCCUAGUUCGUCUGGAAGAUCUGCCAUUUAUAUGCUGGCUGACAGUUACUUAGCUUCUCUGAGCCUUGGCUUCCCCAUCUAUAAAAUCAAUUAUUCAGGGUAUCUAUUAUUGCUGCUUGGGAAAUGACCACACAAAUCUCAGUGGCAGCCAACAAUAAUUUCUCACUUACGUACUGCUAGUCAACUAGGGGAGGGCCUUUCUAGAUUGCUGAAGAGUGAGCCUCCGACCCAGGUUGUAAUUGCUUCGUGCAGGUUAUUAUUCUGCAGCCCGGGCUGGAGGACAGUGGCUGCCAGGAGCACGCUUUUCUUGUGGUGGAGUUCGAAAUCUUCUAGGCCGGUGAGCGGAAACCCAUGUAACCCAUGCAUUGUCACUUCCGCGGUCACUCCAUUGGUCAAAGCGAGUUACAUGGCCAAACCCCACAUCCACAGAGUGGGAAAUAUAUUCCUGCUAUGGAGGAGGUGGGAAGUAAAUAUUUACUGAACAAUAUUCUAAUGACCAUUCUCAGCUGACAGAGAUGUUUUAGAGACAUAAUGAGGGUGAUGAGAGGCAUUCAGCGUGGAGCCAUACACAUAGUACGUGCUCAUUAAAUGCUCGCUGCUCUUUCUGCUGCAAUCACUGCUAUGUCUGCUGGUACUGUACUCCCAAGCUUAGGGAUGGGGGCUCCGGAGAGGAACCCAUCGAAUAGCCUGUGCACUAUUCAAGACCUUGCUGGCCUGAGAAUCACAGCUUCAUCUCCACUCCAGUAAGCAAUGUUCUCUCCUUUGACCUCAAAUGGCCCCAUGGAAGCUUCUGAGAACUUUGGACUAUUGUGAUGCCCAGUUUCUUAAGCACGUCCUCCUACCUUUAUAGCAGGUGUAUGCUGGUUCUCAUUUGACCCUCUCAAUUAUCCUAUGAAGCAAACUGAGAAGCCAUUGCCAUUAUUAUUUUACGGAGAAGAGAACAGGUUGGGUUGAUCCCUGGCGACAUCUGUCUCUUUGGUCUUAGGGUCUAAAGCUUGGAUGGCAAAGUGUCAUGUUCGUGACAAGGGUAUUAGUUGAGGUGUAGGAAUUAACAUAAAGAUGCGGAACUUCAAUAAUUCCUUUCUUCGGUCCUUUGUUCAUUUACUCAUUUAACAAGCAGACAUUUACAGAGCCCGUCACGGGCUCCACAAGCACUGUGGUGAGUGCCCAGGGACAGCACAUGAGGAGUGGAGGGCUCAGCAGACUCCAGGGUAAUUCCAGGCCCAUCUGGGGUUCAGAGCUUGGCAGGGAAUCGGUGGGGGCCAGAGUCAGGAAGCGUGAGCUUGCUCGUCACCCCAGUGUCACUCAUCACUCUGUGUCUACUAAAGUGCCUUGUAUCUGCCAUUUGCUCUGAGUGAGUUUGAAUUUAAUCCCAUCUUCUGCUAUAUGGAUGGCGCGCUCUUCAUUUUAUAGAUAAGGAAACUGUGAAGCUCAGAUACGUUAUUUAUCUUUCUCAGGAUUACACAGCUGGUAGACAAAGUGUACUUUUUCCAUCGCUUAAGUCUUUCUUGUCAAUAAUAGCUGCUGAUACGAGUCAAGGGUUUCUUAUAUGUUACCUGCAAACCUCAUAGCAACUCUGCCUUCUUUUCCUCUUAACUGAACAGAAGGGUUAAGUCACUGGCCUGAGGUCACACAGCUAAUGUUAUAGUUAUAAAGUUCAAGCCUGGGGCUGUCAAGACUCUCACAUUCCUCUUACUCUUUUUCUCACUAAGAAAGACCUCUUGGGCUCCCUCAUAAUCUCAUCGAGCCACUCUCGGACUCCCGUGUGUGGUAGGGGACUAAAAGAACAGCAAGAAAAUAUUUUUCAUUUAAAGGGCAGCCUGUGUGCUUGGUGUGCAGAGGGAGACGGUGGGGAGUGAAACCCUAUCCCCAGUCUUGGUGGUUGGUGGCUGAUUGUAAGACCCUCACACCUUCUUUUUGACCAUCUCUUGCUGGUAUCACACCUCUUCUAGCAUCUGACUUCCUGCGUCCUUAGUCAACAGCCGUGGCUCUGAGGACUGUCAUCUGGCUGGACCGGCCUGACCUGUAACCUCCACCCCCCAGACCAUUUGAAGUCUGCCUCAGUGAGGUAAGCCAGGCACAGCCGGUAACUGCAGCACCAGCAGCUUCUACCACCAGGAAGUGAACCAGGAUCUUUCCUGGACUCCAGCCCAAGCUCAGACUAUGCAGCCAACAGGAGGUCACUGGGAAAGGGUAUUAGCUCAUUGCAACCUUUAGCAUCAUUGCUGUAGUUUCUCUCCUGCCUUGGAAAAAAUUGCGUCUUUUUCCCCCGACUACUCCCUAGCACCCUCACAUAAACCCAGGCACUGAGGGCCAAAACGGACCAAGGCGGCACACACCCAACCCACUGUGUGCUGUGAGAACGGCUGGACUUUGUGCAUUUUCUAAUCUGAUUACAUUUCCAGUCCAAACUGUCUUUAUUUCUCCCUUCCUAAUUGAUUUCCCUGCUCUCACCCCUACAAUUUGUUCAUUACUCAGCAGCCACCCCAUCCUUUUAAAUCGUGAGUCUGAUCAUGUCGUUCUUCUGUUCAAAGUCCCCUAAUGGCUUGUCAUGCUCCUCAGAGAAAAGCCAAAGUCCUUACUGUGGCCUUUAAGGAUCAAGGGCAGGGGCCAGCAUACUUUUUCUGCAAAGGGACAGAUAAUAAAUAGUUUGGGCUUUGGGGCCCA
ensembl:lncRNA